rnacentral:rRNA from 1 species
CGUUCCCGGACCUUGUGCACACCGCCCGUCAAGCCAUGGAAGUUGGGAGGACCUGAAGCCAGUUGCUGUAAGGCGCUGUUUAGGGUUAAACCAAUGACUGGGGCU